rnacentral:piRNA from 1 species
GAGGAAGGUGUUUUUCCUGAGACCAGAAC